AGUUAAUGCCUGCUGCUUCCUUUCUUUGCCCUGUUUGCUUAACUUUAUUUCUCUUCUUCACAUUGCUAUUUGAGUUACACUACAAUUUCAAAUGUGUUGCAUGCUUGGCACUGGAUGUACAAAGCAGUCAGAUUAAACAUAGUGUGCAUACAGAAUUUUGGUGUUGCUCUGCAUCCUCUGUCAAGAUGUUCUAUGUGUACUUCACCCAAUCGAUCUCGCAGGAAGUCCAGGGUUACCUUAUCAUUUUCAAGGUCAAGCCGCAGCUUGCAACAAGUACAAUAGAUGAGAUGCACAAAAAUCUUCAGAGAGCAAGUCAAAUUUAAUCUUCAACAACAAGUAGACCGUUUUCAUUCUUCUGUUCUUGCCACUAACUACGG
rnacentral:lncRNA from 1 species